rnacentral:ncRNA from 14 species
AGUUUAAUGGUAGAACACUCGUCUUCCACACGAGCAAUCAGGGUUCGAUUCCCUCCAA